ACGCUCGACACCUACGGGAGCAGCAGUGGGGAAUAUUGCACAAUGGGGGAAACCCUGAUGCAGCGACGCCGCGUGAGCGAAGAAGUAUUUCGGUAUGUAAAGCUCUAUCAGCAGGGAAGAAACUGACGGUACCUGACUAAGAAGCACCGGCUAAAUACGUGCCGANAGCGCGGAUACUGAGCGGCGUGCGAGNG
rnacentral:rRNA from 1 species